UACGAAGGGUGCAAGCGUUACUCGGAAUUACUGGGCGUAAAGCGUGCGUAGGUGGUUUGUUAAGUCUGUUGUGAAAGCCCCCGGGGCUCAACCUGGGAAUGGCAAUGGAUACUGGCAGGCUAGAGUGCGGUAGAGGGUAGUGGAAUUCCCGGUGUAGCGGUGAAAUGCGUAGAGAUCGGGAGGAACACCGUGGCGAAGGCGGCUACCUGGACC
rnacentral:rRNA from 1 species